AGUCGAACGGCAGCACGGGGGCAACCCUGGUGGCGAGUGGCGAACGGGUGAGUAAUACAUCGGAACGUGUCCUGUAGUGGGGGAUAGCCCGGCGAAAGCCGGAUUAAUACCGCAUACGCUCUACGGAGGAAAGGGGGGGAUCUUCGGACCUCUCGCUACCGGGGCGGCCGAUGGCAGAUUAGCUAGUUGGUGGGGUAAAGGCCUACCAAGGCGACGAUCUGUAGCUGGUCUGAGAGGACGACCAGCCACACUGGGACUGAGACACGGCCCAGACUCCUACGGGAGGCAGCAGUGGGGAAUUUUGGACAAUGGGCGCAAGCCUGAUCCAGCAAUGCCGCGUGUGUGAAGAAGGCCUUCGGGUUGUAAAGCACUUUUGUCCGGAAAGAAAACCUCCGCCCUAAUAUGGUGGGGGGAUGACGGUACCGGAAGAAUAAGCACCGGCUAACUACGUGCCAGCAGCCGCGGUAAUACGUAGGGUGCAAGCGUUAAUCGGAAUUACUGGGCGUAAAGCGUGCGCAGGCGGUUCGCUAAGACAGAUGUGAAAUCCCCGGGCUUAACCUGGGAACUGCAUUUGUGACUGGCGGGCUAGAGUAUGGCAGAGGGGGGUAGAAUUCCACGUGUAGCAGUGAAAUGCGUAGAGAUGUGGAGGAAUACCGAUGGCGAAGGCAGCCCCCUGGGCCAAUACUGACGCUCAUGCACGAAAGCGUGGGGAGCAAACAGGAUUAGAUACCCUGGUAGUCCACGCCCUAAACGAUGUCAACUGGUUGUCGGGUCUUCAUUGACUUGGUAACGUAGCUAACGCGUGAAGUUGACCGCCUGGGGAGUACGGUCGCAAGAUUAAAACUCAAAGGAAUUGACGGGGACCCGCACAAGCGGUGGAUGAUGUGGAUUAAUUCGAUGCAACGCGAAAAACCUUACCUACCCUUGACAUGGUCGGAAUCCUGCUGAGAGGCGGGAGUGCCUGAAAGGGAACCGAUACACAGGUGCUGCAUGGCUGUCGUCAGCUC
rnacentral:rRNA from 1 species